rnacentral:rRNA from 1 species
UGGGGAAUUGUUCACAAUGGGCGCAAGCCUGAUGACGCAACGCCGCGUGGGGGAUGAAGGUCUUCGGAUCGUAAACCCCUGUCGAAUGGGACGAAAGACUCGCGAGUGAAUACUUCGCGAGAGUGACGGUACCGUUAAAGGAAGCCACGGCUAACUACGUGCCAGCAGCCGCGGUAAGACGUAGGAUGCAAGCGUUGUCCGGAUUUAUUGGGCGUAAAGAGUUCGUAGGCGGUUAUUUAAGUCUGAUGUUAAAUACUGUGGCCCAACCACAGAACUGCAUUGGAUACUGGAAGUCUUGAGAUCGGGAGAGGUGAGUGGAAUUCCUAGUGUAGAGGUGAAAUUCGUAGAUAUUAGGAAGAACACCAGUGGCGAAGGCGGCUCACUGGCCCGAUACUGACGCUGAGGUGCGAAAGCGUGGGGAGCAAACAGGAUUAGAUACCCAGGUAGUCCCUGAGCGGGCUGGCAAGGCGCAU